rnacentral:rRNA from 1 species
ACUGCUCAGUAACACGUAGUCAACAUAACCAAAGGACGUGGAUAAACUCGGGAAACUGAGGCUAAACCGCGAUAGACCAAGAUACCUGGAAUGGUUUUUGAUUGAAAUCUAUAUGGCCUUUGGAUUGGACUGCGUCCGAUCAGGCUGUUGGUGAGGUAAUGGCCCACCAAACCUAUAACCGGUACGGGCUCUGAGAGGAGGAGCCCGGAGAUGGGUACUGAGACAAAGAUCCAGGCUCUACGGAGCGCAGCAGGCGCGCAAACUCUGCAAUGCGCGUAAGCGUGACAGGGGGACUCCAAGUGGGCCUGUAAAACAGGUCCUUUUGCGGCAUGUAAAAAGUUCCGAGAAUAAGGGGUGGGCAAGACUAGUGCCAGCCUCCGCGGUAAAACUAGCAACCCAAGUGGUGGUCACGUUUAUUUGGCUUAAAGCGUCCGUAGUCAGGCCAGUAAGUUUUCUGUGAAAUCCUAACGCUUAACGCUAGGGCUUGCAGAGAAUACUGUUGGUCUUGGAGCCGGGAGAGGUUGGGGGAAUUCAUAGGGUAGCGGCGAAAUGCUAUAAUCCUGUGAGGACCACCGACAGCGAAGGCACCCAACUAGAACGGGCUCGACGAUGAGGGACGAGAGCUAGGGGAGCAAACCGGAUUAGAUACCCGGGUAGUCCUAGCCGUAAACGAUGCAGGCUGAGUGUUUCCUGAACCUCGAGUUCAGGAAGUGCUGAAGGGAAACCGUUAAGCCUGCCGCCUGGGGAGUACGGUCGCAAGGCUGAAACUUAAAGGAAUUGGCGGGGGAG